rnacentral:tmRNA from 1 species
GGGGCUGCCUGGAUUUGACGGCAAGAGAGAUGGUAUAUAAGCAUGCGGAGUCACGGCUGUUGUCUCCUUAAUAACACCGGUCAAAAAUUAAUUGGCGAAAACAACUACGCUCUCGCUGCCUAAUCGAAGUACAGUAGAUUACUGGCUUAAUCGCCUCACAAGGUGAGGCGACGAGACAUCGCUCCGAGGAUGUUGUUCCGAAUCCAGAGAUUCAGCGGUGCAGAUUAAAUCGGAAAUAGUCCGGAUAUGCUUCGAUGUCCGGAUGAGAUUUUAGAAGAUAAGGUUGUUACAGGUAGUCUGAAGCUUAGGAACAACUCGAAAAUCCAUUUUCAGAAUAAGCAUGUAGAAAGUAUAUGGUUUCCUUGUGCGGACGCGGGUUCGAUUCCCGCCAGCUCCACU